rnacentral:rRNA from 1 species
UUUCUAGGGCAUACCAACCUGAAUGUGCAGUCUCAUCUAACCUCAGAAGCUAAGGAGGAUUGGGCCUGGUUAGAACUUGGAUGGGAAAACACCAGUUAAAAUCUGUACUGAAAAAA